rnacentral:lncRNA from 1 species
UUAAUUUUUGGGGUAAAUAUAUAUUUUUACCUUAUUUUGAGUUUUAAGGGUAAAAUAGUCAAUUUGUCACAAUUCAGUUAACUUUCUAACGGCAGCUAACGGUUUGGUGGAUGACAAACACAUUUUGUCAACUUAGAGUAUACGAUUGAUACAUGUUAAAAGUGUUGUAGUACGUUUGAUACAAAUGUCAUUUAAGGGUAUACAAGUGAUAUUUUCCCUUAAAGUUAUUUAUUUAUUAAAACAAAAGAAGGAACAAAAUAUAUGAAAUCUUAACAUUAUAGAAUGGGGCUCUAAUUUCUAUAUAGUUGGGAAUCAAAUUUCAAUUAUGAGGACAAACUAUUUGUCUUAUUCAAUUGUGAAAAUUUUAAAUUACCUUAAUUAAAUUCUACAUUUUAGUCCACAUUUUCAAUAGAGAGUAGAAUUUUAUUAA